GGUGAAUUAGUUUAGUGGUAGAAUAACUAAAAAUAACUUCUUAGAGAAGUUUUACAGCAUUCAAUCUCCCUUGUCAUGGAGUAGGCUCAGGUUCGAUUCCUGAAUUCACCGCCA
rnacentral:tRNA from 1 species